rnacentral:rRNA from 1 species
GUGCCAGCCGCCGCGGUAAUACGUAGGGUGCAAGCGUUGUCCGGAAUUAUUGGGCGUAAAGAGCUCGUAGGCGGCUUGUCGCGUCUGCUGUGAAAUCCCGGGGCUCAACUCCGGGCCUGCAGUGGGUACGGGCAAGCUAGAGUGCGGUAGGGGAGAUUGGAAUUCCUGGUGUAGCGGUGGAAUGCGCAGAUAUCAGGAGGAACACCGAUGGCGAAGGCAGAUCUCUGGGCCGUAACUGACGCUGAGGAGCGAAAGCAUGGGGAGCGAACAGGAUUAGAUACCCCUGUAGUCC